UUUUCACCUGAACAGAAUCAUAUUAGCCGAAAGUAAAUAACAGUGUUACAUGUUUACACAUUGUUUAGAAUUGCUGCUUGCACUUUUAACACUAAGUUAAUACAGUACACAAGGAUGUGCAGAUAUACCGGUGUGAAUACAUUUUUGGGGUUUGACUAUGAUGCGCCUCCCUAUGUCCUCAUUUCCUGUCUCCACACAGGACUUUGUCUCCGCCCUCUUGUUCCUCCUGACGGCCUGAUCCCAAUCAUCUAAACAGUCAGGUGGGCCAAAACAAUUAGAAAUUACACUCUUUUAAAUGUGUUGCAUGUCACCACUUGUUAUUUGUCGCCCAUUAACACACAAAUAUUUUUAUUGGCCUUUUUAGCCAGGUUUUAGGAUCGGGCAAAUCUUUGUCCUUUGCCCUCUGUGUGGGCUUGUGGAGUGGCCAGUAGCUGCACGUCUUCUGAAAUGGAAAACAAAAUAGUUUUGCAGAACUUGCAUAGAAUUUUUGAAAUGAUUGACAUAAAGGUUUUUCGCAUGUACUUACAUCUCCCUCUUUUAUAAUCCAAUUACUGGCCACUAUGCCAACAGUCCUUUCCCCCAAAAAUUCGACGAUGCUAUACAUUCUGUAAUCAAGAACAGAGAGGUUAAUUUAAUACAGUAAAGAAUAAUUGUGUCUGUACAAGAAAUUGCAAUGAUAAUACACUGAGCAAAAUACAACAUACUGCAAUGUCAUGAAGAAUGGCCAUGAAGAGGAUUUUUUCCCCCACAGGAAUCUUGAUUGCCUUUCUUUUCAGGUUGUCAUUUUGGAUCCAUCUCAAAACGGUGUCAUUGUUCUUGUACUUCAGUACUCCGAUUAAUGUGGAGUCACAAGGGACACUGAAAAGUGGUUCUGGGUGCUGGUAUACACGGAAAAGCUGGCUUCCGUCCCUCUCCUCUAUGACCUCGCAGCAUUCGCGGCGAUUCAAAAUAAAAGAAGAAUUGGACCUCUGCCUACCAUGCUCCAUUGGCUGUCCAGCGCAUUCCUCAAGCCUUUUCACCACUUGUGACAGGGGGCAUCUUCCACUCCUUACCAUCCUCUUUAUUUUCUUGAGACAAUUUACAAAUUUAAAAGCGCUACAAUUGUCCAAUCCUCCAAAGGUCACGGCAUCCUCCACAAUGUGCAACAUUGAGUGCACGUUGUAGACCAGAAACUGGUUACCAUAAAGUUCUCGGCCUCUCUCAACAAAGAAUCGGAGGAGAUCAGCAGCAUAUCUCCAGUGUUGCUCGACCAAUGCUGGACUUACAAGUAUGUUCAUUGCCACACUGAAUGUCAUGAAGUGGCUGAAAAAUUCAUCUUUAAGGACCCCCUUCAGCACAAUCUUUCCUGUAUAUAACAUAAACUGCCUAUGUUCCGUUGCCUUCCAUCUCUCAAGCUCUUUAAGAUCUCUCGGUUUGCGGGCGAAGCUGGAAGGGAUGUGUGGACGGAGGUUGGUGAGCCUGCUGCUGACCUCCUCUAUUUGGGUUGCCGACAUCUUCAGGCCCUUCACUCCUCUGCACCACAUGAAGAGAAGCCUCUUCAUUACACCCAAGCAUGCCUGGUGCAUGUAAUCGAUGGGAAAUGCACCGAUCAUGUUAAUGGGUAAAUCCAAAAGCGGGGUGCUGCCAUGAUGAUGCUCGCCCUGUGUCUGUUGGCGGAAGGAGUCGUCACUACGAGCCACCACCUCUGUGUCUUGGCCACUGGACAGGAGGUUGUUGACAUCCAUCACCAUGUCUUCCAGGAAUUCCAGAUUCUGUGGCUUCGAACCUCCACAAGUCAGGGUGAUAGGGAAGACUGACACUGGUUUUAAAUGGACAGCACAAAGGAUGGGCCACAUUGUUCUUCCUGAGCUCUUAAACAGAGGAAAAUGGACAUGCUCCAUACCAGACUUUGAUGUGAUCCUGACCUCCCUUGGUGUCUUCAGGAGUGUCCUGGUGGUGGAAGGCAGGUCAGUGUGUCCGUGACCUCUCAAAACUUUCAAAAGGUCAUCAACAGCAUUGUGUUUCACCUGAAACUGGCAAGCCCAGCUAGCGAGGUCAGAUGCGAGCGAUGCCGGACGCUGGUCGGACGCCUCCAGGUCAUCCCCAAAAACCUCUUCCUCCUCAUCAUCAGAGGGAUCAACAUCCAUCCAGUCAUCGAGGUCAUCCUCCAAAGCAGAACGAUCCUCAAAUGACUCAUCCAAGUCCAAGGAGUUGUCCAUGUCACCAAUAGGCGCAAGAACACCGGAUGGACUGCUGGACAAGCUGGCAUCAGCCACAUGGUGUUCUGUGACACAAACACUGGCAGUGCUUUCAGCUAUCCUAUUCAUCACUUGUUUAGCAGAUCUCCAUGAACGGAGGUACUGCCUUGCCCGUAACUGUUUUUCCUCACUCAUCCUGUGAAAUAAAAUGUUUCACAUUUUAA